rnacentral:tRNA from 1 species
CGUUAGUAUAGUUGUAAGUAUCCCCGCCUGUCACGCGGGAGACCGGAGUUCAAUUCCCCGACG